rnacentral:rRNA from 1 species
UCAAUUGUCUUAUAAUUGAAGACUGGAAUGAAUGGUUAAACGAAAUUAAAACUGUCUCAUUUUAUAUUAAUUAAAAAUUGGCUUUUAAAUGAAGAGAUUUAAAUUUAAUUAAUAGACAAGAAGACCCUAUUGAGCUUAAAAUAAUUUUAUGAGUGAUAAUUUAUUAUUGAAGAUUUAAGUUUUUAAUGUAUUUUUGGUUGGGGCGACUAAGGAACAGGUGAAGCUUCCUUUAUUUAUUAGAUUAAUAGGUUUUGAUCCAGUAUUGACUGAUUAAUAAAGAUAGUUACCAUAGGGAUAACAGCAUAAUCUUCUUGGAGAGUUCUUAUCAAAAAGAAGGGUUGUGACCUCGAUGUUGGAUUAAAGUAUCCUAAAGGUGUA